UACGUAGGUGGCAAGCGUUGUCCGGAUUUACUGGGCGUAAAGGGCGUGCAGGCGGUCUGUUAAGUGCAGGGUGAAAGCUCCCGGCUCAACUGGGAGAGGUCCUUGCAUACUGGCGGACUUGAGGGGGGUAGAGGAAAGUGGAAUUCCCGGUGUAGUGGUGAUAUGCGUAGAUAUCGGGAGGAACACCUGUGGCGAAGGCGGCCCACUGGGCUGUCACUGACGCUGAGGCGCGAAAGCUCGGGGAGCGAACGGG
rnacentral:rRNA from 1 species